GGGGUUAGCUCAGUGCUAGAGCGUCUGCCUUGCAAGCCGAAGGCCUCAGGUUCAAUCCCCAGCAUCUCCA